CUGGGCAACAGAGACUACAAAAGAGAUCAGACACAGUUAGAGGAAUAGUUUACUAGGUUUACUGGAACAGUGAAUGGCAGAGAAGAUGAGAUGCAUUAAUGGAAGAAGAACUGGCCAGGAGAGUGGAGACCAGAGAAAAAUUUACUUAUGAGCAGAAACAGUGAGUUUAUAGAAUGGAAGUGAGAGGUCUCUAUGGUUGAAACCUGCUGCCUUUUAUUUUGGAAGUUGCCACAAUACUUCAAAUUCAAAAUUAUAGCUCAAUUGCAGCAUUACAAAGGAAGAGCGGAUGGGCUGCAAAGGAGAAAAAUCCUCAUUAAACCUUACAAACAUAU